GUUCUUACUGCUGGAGAAGUUGUUCAGUAAGUUCUGAUUUGAUGUCUGCCAAAGAGAUUCUCAGUGGAAACGAUGAGCUGAUUGGUCAGGUGUUGAGCACCAUGA